rnacentral:rRNA from 1 species
AUACAGAGGGUGCGAGCGUUAAUCGGAAUUACUGGGCGUAAAGCGCGCGUAGGCGGCUACUUAAGUCAGAUGUGAAAUCCCCGGGCUCAACCUGGGAACUGCAUCUGAUACUGGGUAGCUAGAGUUUUGGAGAGGGAAGUAGAAUUUCAGGUGUAGCGGUGAAAUGCAUAGAGAUCUGAAGGAAUACCAGUGGCGAAGGCGACUUCCUGGCCAAAAACUGACGCUGAGGUGCGAAGGCGUGGGUAGCAAACGGGAUUAGAUACCCUAGUAGUCC